rnacentral:tRNA from 1 species
GAAUCAUUAGCUCAGUUGGCAGAGCAUCUGACUUUUAAUCAGAGGGUCACGGCUUCGAGUGCCGUAUGGUUCA